rnacentral:lncRNA from 1 species
CAUAUAUUGUGGAUGCAUUGCAUUGUCCCUAAUGCGGAUUGGUAGUGAUAUUACACUUUGACCUGCAAUGUCUUGAUCAUUAAAUGGAAAAGUAAGUGCCUCUGGUCAAGUUAACACAUGUAAUCGAUGUUUCCUUAUAUAAUGUUCAUUUGGGUCUUAGAGAAGAUGAUCUGCCAAUGUUUGAGAAUCUGAAAAGAUAAAGGAUAUACAUGUUUUUCCCCUUUUGCUUGUUGAUGCGACAAGUAACAAUAGAUGACAAGAUUUUGUUAUGCUGUGACUAAUACUGGAAACAAGUUUAAAAAUUUAAAGAGACCCAAAAGUCCUGGAUGGUGUAAACAGCUUCUCCGCUACAUUUGUCCUUCCUUUCUCCAGCACUUCACUAGUUUUGAUCAAUUGGAGUUGGAAUAUCAGAACUCUGAUGUAUGUAUGUUGUAACAUUGUCAUGCCACUUAAUUUUGAAUUCUUUUCCAACAUCGAAAAAUUAUGAAAUGAGACAAAAGGUUAUUUCAGUGUAACUAUGUAACCUUCUUUAUUCUUUUUUAUUUAAGAAUUUCUCAGGUCUCCUUGUGAGAAACAAACUGAUUUUAUUCUGAUUGAUCUUUUGCAGGAGCUGAAACAAUAUCCUACUUUACGAGUAGAAGUUGGCAAUGCAGCUUUUGAAUCAUUGGAGAGAAUGAGGGAAGAAAGCAGAAAAGCAACUCUUAAGCUAGUUGAUAUGGAAUGUAGUUAUCUGACUGUAGAUUUCUUCCGGAAGCUUCCUCAGGAUAUCGAGAAAGGCGGAAAUCCAACACUUUCUAUUUUUGAUAGAUACAAUGACUCUUAUCUCAGACGUAUAGGUGAGUUAUUCUAUAUGGCAUCUGAUUGUUUAGAAUGUUUAAUAUGAUUCAUAAUUGUGGAUCCUUUUCGGUUUCAAGUACAUGCAUUUUCCAUCUGUUUUGAUAUGGCUCGAUCCUAUGAAGAUAACUGAUCUAAUUGCAUCCUUGUAAUCCUUUAGCUUUGAAAAGCAAUGUCCCAAUAUUGACAGCAUACUGGAUGGCAUUCUACUUGUAACAGGAACAACUGUUCUGGCAUAUGUCAACAUGGUAUGUUCAAGCUUGCGGAACUCCAUCCCAAAGUCUAUUGUUUACUGUCAAGUGCGAGAGGCCAAACGCUCCUUGCUUGAUCAUUUCUUUACUGAGUUGGGGAAAAAGGAGGUGAGAUUGUAUAGUAAAUUUCAAUAAAGUUUUAAUUAAGAAGUGCUGCUAUCAAUGCUUAUCUGCUUGUUUCCCUAUAUAUCUGAUAUAUGUUCUGCUAUUAUUGUUCAAGAUAUUUCUUGUGUCCUGCUGAGUUUGAUUAUUUCUGUUGGAGAUUAUAAUCCAAUAGUAUUAGAUUGAAAGCUAGUCAUCCAUCAUAAAGCCUGGAGCACAAAUUGACCUGUUUCUGUCUAAUUACAAUUACUCACAGGAGGCGUUGGCAGGAGAGGUGGGGGUCUGGUGGACCCACUCCUUUGAUCCCAACCUACAAGGAUCUAGGAAAUUUAGGAAGAUCAUAGUCUGUUAGUUAUAUCAGGUUUUCGAGCACAGUUUCAUUGAGAAACUGGCUAUUCUAACUCAGAUCUUCAGAUCAGAUAAAGAAAAAUGACAUAUUAUGAUUGAUUGAUUCCUUGAUUGGUUAAUCUAGAUUGGUUUGGACUGGUUGAUCUCAAUCGCAACUGAUGCAAAGCAACAGUUGGAACUUGUGUAUGUUGUUCUUCGACUUUGUCAUAAUUGUGUUUUUCACAUUAAAAUGAGACAUCUAGGUCUUGGGCUAUAAGGAUGUCAUAAUUCUGUUUCAACAUCUUUUGGUCAGCAUAUCAUCUAAUAGUUCUUUGAACUUGACUCUGCAGACGAAGCAGUUAGGGUCAUUGUUGGAUGAGGACCCAGCAAUUAUGGAGCGUAGAACUGCCCUUGCAAAGAGACUAGAGCUAUACAGAGGUGCCCAAGCUGAGAUUGAUGCAGUAGCAUGGGCUAAGUAGGGAGAUGCAGGGGAUCACAUUGUUCCUCUCUUAUAAUUUUCACUCUACAAAUAGAUUCAUCUACAAGUCUCUCUCUCUCUCUCUCUCUCUCAAUCACUCUCUCUCUCUGUUUCUCGCUAUAUGCAUAUCUUGUGUGACUAUGUCUGGAGCAUGAGGAUUUAAUUUUCAGUUUGUUACCACUUUAUGUUGGAUGAUUAAUUAGGGGCGUUUCCUUUUACCCAUGAUAUAGAAUGUAUAAUACAUGAUUCCUUACCGAGCAUAAUAUGAUGUGCUCUCCUUGGGAAAUGAAUUUGAGUCUUUUGUGGUAAUUACCGAUUAUAAAUUCUCGAGUUCUAACCAUAAUUUUAUGGUAAUUACCUGCAGAAAUGUCCAUCAGGAAGUUUAUGUAAAAGGCUGUGUGCGUGUGACAAGAAUGUUCUUUUUUGUUUCAUUUGUAUGCUUUCUCUAUAUUUCUGUUACUGCUUGAAUUGAACUUUGAAGCAAGUUUUUUCAAGUGCAAUGCAGCUCAGCUGUUCAGUGUGUAGUAGUCUUACCCUUUCUUUGUUUGAACUAAUGCAAUACUGUUGAGCAGUUUACAGGCAUAAAAGUUCUAAAUGCUUGUGAUUCACUGGAUAUAUUAAUGAAACUUACCUUCUUUUUGGUUUCCAUGAUGUCAGGUCUCAGCUGAAUGAAGAACAUGGCAACAAAAUGCAGAAACAAUCGAGAAAAAAGAACCCUAAACCAUAUGUUUAAAGCGAACUCGGUAGAACAAAGCAAGCAUUAUAGCAGGAAAACAUAUGGGUGUUCGUGUAUUUGUACUUGUUUGGAGUAUUCCUGGGGUCUGAUCCUUGCUCUGUUCAUCAUCUCAUCCUUCCUCGCCCGCACAUCACCGAGGACCAUGUUUGCAUCAAUCAAAGCGUUCAGUGGUUUGUGAUGGAAACAGAGCUAAGCUUUUGCACGCACCCGGUUUGCCAUUCCAGAUGAGCAACAAAGAGACACCAUCCGAGUACAGAUGCCACAGGUUGCUAAUUUACAGGGUGGCGAUCGAGCUGCGGCCUUCGCAUCGGAAACAAGAAUUUGGGGGACGAGACGAGGGCUCUGCUCCUUCGGACCGAGAGAAGAGCAGCAAAAGAUACACCGUGUGAGUGGAGAUGCCAUGGAGGGUUGCUAUUUACAGGGUGGGUGGCGAUCGAGCUCCGGCCUCGAUCUGCCAUUCCUCUGCUUCGCUUCUUCCCGGAAACAAGAUUUUGCGCGACGGGACGAGAGCUCUAGUGCUAUAGACCGAGAGAUGAGCAACAAAGAAACACCACCUGAAGUGGAGAUGCCAUGGAGGGUUGGUCGUUGUAGGGUGGCGAUCGAGCUCCGCCCUCGAUCGGUCAUUCCUAUGCUUCGCUUUUUAUCGGAAACAAGAAUUCGGGGGACGAGACGAGAGCACUUCUCCUAUGGACAUCGGGAUGAGAGUUGGUACCUACGGGGCGACGAUCGAGAAACCGCCUCGAUCUGCCAUUCCUCUGCUUCGCGUCUUCUCAGAAACAAGAAUUCGGGGUGGGGGACGAGACCAGAGCUCGUCUCCUACAGGCCGAGAGAGAGCAACACGGAAACACCAUCUGGGUUGGUAGCGAUCGAGCACCGGCCUCGAUCUGCUAUUCCUCUACUUCGCUUCUUCUUGGAAACAAGAACUAGGGCAACGAGACGAGAGCUCUUCUCCUGUACACCAUCUGCGUGCAGAUGUCAUCGAGGGGUUGGUUGUUAUAGAGCGGGGGGCGACGGAACUCCAGCUUUGGUG